rnacentral:rRNA from 1 species
GGGGAAUAUUGGACAAUGGGCGAAAGCCUGAUCCAGCCAUGCCGCGUGAAUGAUGAAGGCCUUAGGGUUGUAAAGUUCUUUUGUCAGGGAAGAUGAUGACGGUACCUGAAGAAUAAGCACCGGCUAACUUCGUGCCAGCAGCCGCGGUAAUACGAAGGGUGCUAGCGUUGUUCGGAAUCACUGGGCGUAAAGCGCGCGUAGGCGGCUUUCCAAGUCAGAGGUGAAAUCCCUGGGCUCAACCCAGGAACUGCCUUUGAAACUGUAAAGCUGGAGUGUCGGAGGGGAUGGCGGAAUUGCUAAUGUAGAGGUGAAAUUCGUAGAUAUUAGCAGGAACACCGGUGGCGAAGGCGGCCAUCCGGACGACAACUGACGCUGAGGCGCGAAAGCGUGGGGAUCAAAC